UGCCUACGGGGGGCAGCAGUGGGGAAUAUUGGGCAAUGGGCGCAAGCCUGACCCAGCAACGCCGCGUGAAGGAAGAAGGCUUUCGGGUUGUAAACUUCUUUUCUCAGGGACGAAGCAAGUGACGGUACCUGAGGAAUAAGCCACGGCUAACUACGUGCCAGCAGCCGCGGUAAUACGUAGGUGGCAGGCGUUAUCCGGAUUUACUGGGUGUAAAGGGCGUGUAGGCGGGACUGCAAGUCAGAUGUGAAAACCACGGUCUCAACCUGUUGCCUGCAUUUGAAACUGUAGUUCUUGUGUACUGGGGG
rnacentral:rRNA from 1 species